rnacentral:tRNA from 1 species
AGGCGGAUAGCUCAGUGGUAGAGCGCUUGGUCGACAUCCAAGUGGUCGUAGGUUCGAUCCCUAUUCCGCCUA